rnacentral:rRNA from 1 species
GACGAACGCUGGCGGCGUGCUUAACACAUGCAAGUCGAACGGAAAGGCCCUGCUUUUGUGGGGUGCUCGAGUGGCGAACGGGUGAGUAACACGUGAGUAACCUGCCCUUGACUUUGGGAUAACUUCAGGAAACUGGGGCUAAUACCGGAUAGGAGCUCCUGCUGCAUGGUGGGGGUUGGAGAGUUUCGGCGGUUGGGGAUGGACUCGCGGCUUAUCAGCUUGUUGGUGGGGUAGUGGCUUACCAAGGCUUUGACGGGUAGCCGGCCUGAGAGGGUGACCGGCCACAUUGGGACUGAGAUACGGCCCAGACUCCUACGGGAGGCAGCAGUGGGGAAUAUUGCACAAUGGGCGGAAGCCUGAUGCAGCAACGCCGCGUGCGGGAUGACGGCCUUCGGGUUGUAAACCGCUUUCGCCUGUGACGAAGCGUGAGUGACGGUAAUGGGUAAAGAAGCACCGGCUAACUACGUGCCAGCAGCCGCGGUGAUACGUAGGGUGCGAGCGUUGUCCGGAUUUAUUGGGCGUAAAGGGCUCGUAGGUGGUUGAUCGCGUCGGAAGUGUAAUCUUGGGGCUUAACCCUGAGCGUGCUUUCGAUACGGGUUGACUUGAGGAAGGUAGGGGAGAAUGGAAUUCCUGGUGGAGCGGUGGAAUGCGCAGAUAUCAGGAGGAACACCAGUGGCGAAGGCGGUUCUCUGGGCCUUUCCUGACGCUGAGGAGCGAAAGCGUGGGGAGCGAACAGGCUUAGAUACCCUGGUAGUCCACGCUGUAAACGGUGGGUACUAGGUGUGGGGUCCAUUCCACGGGUUCCGUGCCGUAGCUAACGCUUUAAGUACCCCGCCUGGGGAGUACGGCCGCAAGGCUAAAACUCAAAGGAAUUGACGGGGCCCCGCACAAGCGGCGGAGCAUGCGGAUUAAUUCGAUGCAACGCGUAGAACCUUACCUGGGUUUGACAUGGAUCGGGAGUGCUCAGAGAUGGGUGUGCCUCUUUUGGGGUCGGUUCACAGGUGGUGCAUGGCUGUCGUCAGCUCGUGUCGUGAGAUGUUGGGUUGAGUCCCGCAACGAGCGCAACCCUUGUUCACUGUUGCCAGCACGUUAUGGUGGGGACUCAGUGGAGACCGCCGGGGUCAACUCGGAGGAAGGUGGGGAUGACGUCAAGUCAUCAUGCCCCUUAUGUCCAGGGCUUCACGCAUGCUACAAUGGCUGGUACAGAGAGUGGCGAGCCUGUGAGGGUGAGCGAAUCUCGGAAAGCCGGUCUCAGUUCGGAUUGGGGUCUGCAACUCGACCUCAUGAAGUCGGAGUCGCUAGUAAUCGCAGAUCAGCAACGCUGCGGUGAAUACGUUCCCGGGGCU